AGCGAACGCUGGCGGCAGGCUUAACACAUGCAAGUCGAGCGGGCACUUCGGUGUCAGCGGCAGACGGGUGAGUAACACGUGGGAACGUACCCUUUGGUUCGGAAUAACGCUGGGAAACUAGCGCUAAUACCGGAUACGCCCUUUUGGGAAAGGCUUGCUGCCGAAGGAUCGGCCCGCGUCUGAUUAGCUAGUUGGUGGGGUAAUGGCCUACCAAGGCGACGAUCAGUAGCUGGUCUGAGAGGAUGAUCAGCCACACUGGGACUGAGACACGGCCCAGACUCCUACGGGAGGCAGCAGUGGGGAAUAUUGGACAAUGGGCGCAAGCCUGAUCCAGCCAUGCCGCGUGAGUGAUGAAGGCCUUAGGGUUGUAAAGCUCUUUUGUCCGGGACGAUAAUGACGGUACCGGAAGAAUAAGCCCCGGCUAACUUCGUG
rnacentral:rRNA from 1 species